AAUGAACGCUGGCGGCAGGCCUAACACAUGCAAGUCGAACGAAGCCUUCGGGCUUAGUGGCGGACGGGUGAGUAACGCGUGGGAACAUACCCUUUGGUACGGAAUAGCCUCGGGAAACUGGGAGUAAUACCGUAUGUGCCCUUCGGGGAAAGAUUAUCGCCAAAGGAUUGGCCCGCGUUGGAUUAGGUAGUUGGUGGGGUAAUGGCCUACCAAGCCGACGAUCCAUAGCUGGUUUGAGAGGAUGAUCAGCCACACUGGGACUGAGACACGGCCCAGACUCCUACGGGAGGCAGCAGUGGGGAAUCUUAGACAAUGGGCGCAAGCCUGAUCUAGCCAUGCCGCGUGAUCGAUGAAGGCCUUAGGGUUGUAAAGAUCUUUCAGAUGGGAAGAUAAUGACGGUACCAUCAGAAGAAGCCCCGGCUAACUCCGUG
rnacentral:rRNA from 1 species